ACCGAAAGGUUGGUAGAGGAGCAUUGCAUGCGGGAAGAAGCAGUACCGUAAGGAGCUGUGGACUGCAUGGAAGAGAGAAUGCCGGAAUGAGUAGCGAGAUAGAGGUGGGAAUCCUCUAGGCCGAAUAUCCAAGGUUUCCAGAGUAAAGCUGAUCUGCUCUGGGUAAGUCGGGGCCUAAGGCGAGGACGAGAGUCGUAGCCGAUGGACAACAGGUGGAGAUUCCUGUACUGCGGUAUGACAGAACUGUGGGGACACGUAAGGAAAGCGGAAGCCGGGAAUGGAAAGCCCGGUGCAAGCGGGGUACCAGUCACUUUGGCAAAUCCGGGUGGCAAUGGGAAGCCGUGAUGCGGAGCGAAAUAAAGUAGCGAAGUCCGUGAGCCAUGCGUCAAGAAAAGCCGCUAUUGUUUAUACCGUACCCGUACCGUAAACCGACACAGGUGGAUGAGGAGAGAAUCCUAAGGCCGGCGGAAGAAGCAUUGUCAAGGAACUCGGCAAAAUGGCCCCGUAACUUAGGGAUAAGGGGUGCCUGGGAAACCAGGCCGCAGAGAAUAGGCUCAAGCAACUGUUUAGCAAAAACACAGGUCUAUGCGAAACCGAAAGGUGAGGUAUAUGCUGACGCCUGCCCGGUGCUGGAAGGUUAAGAGGAGAGGUUAGCGCAAGCGAAGCUUUGAAUUUAAGCCCCAGUAAACGGCGGCCGUAACUAUAACGGUCCUAAGGUAGCGAAAUUCCUUGUCGGGUAAGUUCCGACCCGCACGAAAGGCGUAAUGAUUUGAGCGCUGUCUCGACAAUGCAUCCGGUGAAAUUGAAGUACCAGUGAAGAUGCUGGUUACCUGCGCCAGGACGGAAAGACCCCAUGGAGCUUUACUCCAGUCUGGUACUGGGACUCGGUAUUGCAUGUACAGGAUAGGUGGGAGGCUAGGAGAUGGUAACGCCAGUUGCCAUGGAGCCGCUGUUGGGAUACCACCCUUGCAGUAUUGGGUUUCUAACCAGCCGCCGUGACCCGGCGGUGGGACAAUGCCAGACGGGGAGUUUGACUGGGGCGGUCGCCUCCGAAAGGGUAUCGGAGGCGCCCAAAGGUUCCCUCAGAAUGGACGGAAACCAUUCGAAGAGUGCAAAGGCAGAAGGGAGCUUGACUGCGACACCGACGGGUGGAGCAGGUACGAAAGUAGGGCUUAGUGAUCCGGUGGUAUUAAGUGGGAAUGCCAUCGCUCAACGGAUAAAAGCUACCCUGGGGAUAACAGGCUUAUCACUCCCAAGAGUUCACAUCGACGGAGUGGUUUGGCACCUCGAUGUCGGCUCAUCGCAUCCUGGGGCUGUAGUAGGUCCCAAGGGUUGGGCUGUUCGCCCAUUAAAGCGGUACGCGAGCUGGGUUCAGAACGUCGUGAGACAGUUCGGUCCCUAUCCGGCGUGGGCGUAGGAUAUCUGAGAGGAGCUGUCCUUAGUACGAGAGGACCGGGAUGGACGGGCCGCUGGUGCAUCGGUUAGACUGCCAAGUCUACGGCCGAGUAGCCAAGCCCGGAAGGGAUAAACGCUGAAGGCAUCUAAGCGUGAAGCCCCCCUUAAGAUGAGAUAUCCCAUUCG
rnacentral:rRNA from 1 species